CUUGCGCUGGAACAGCAAAGGGAAGGCCAUGGACGACGCCGCUCCAGCCCUUCUCCGACGCCAUCAAGCAGUAGCAGCAACUCGAUGCAGGGACGAGGGAGAGGAGGAGUCCUGCUUCCCCGGCGUGCAUCCUCUCUCUCGGAACGACACCCAACCUCAAGCGAGAGCAGGCAUCCUCCGUGGAUGAUGACGACAACCAGGGCAUCCA